rnacentral:rRNA from 1 species
UGGGGAAUAUUGCACAAUGGGCGCAAGCCUGAUGCAGCCAUGCCGCGUGUGUGAAGAAGGCCUUCGGGUUGUAAAGCACUUUCAGCGGGGAGGAAGGCGUUAAGGUUAAUAACCUUGGCGAUUGACGUUACCCGCAGAAGAAGCACCGGCUAACUCCGUGCCAGCAGCCGCGGUAAUACGGAGGGUGCAAGCGUUAAUCGGAAUUACUGGGCGUAAAGCGCACGCAGGCGGUCUGUCAAGUCGGAUGUGAAAUCCCCGGGCUCAACCUGGGAACUGCAUUCGAAACUGGCAGGCUAGAGUCUUGCAGAGGGGGGUAGAAUUCCAGGUGUAGCGGUGAAAUGCGUAGAGAUCUGGAGGAAUACCGGUGGCGAAGGCGGCCCCCUGGACAAAGACUGACGCUCAGGUGCGAAAGCGUGGGGAGCAAACAGG